rnacentral:misc_RNA from 1 species
GAUGAAGAACGCAGCGAAAUGCGAUACGUAAUGUGAAUUGCAGAAUUCAGUGAAUCAUCGAGUCUUUGAACGCACAUUGCGCCCUUUGGCAUUCCGAAGGGCAUGCCUGUUCGAGCGUCAUUAUCACCCCUCAAGCCCCCCUGGCUUGGUGUUGGACGGUUUUGGUGGGACGUGCAGCCUCUCACCCCUCCUAAAGACAAUGACGGCGGCGUCGUUGGAACCCCCGGUACACUGAGCUUCUUAACUGAGCACGUACUGGAUGCGGGUACGCGAUGCACGGUCUGCCUCCCCUUUAGGGAGAACUUUUUCUUAAGGUUGACCUCGGAUCAGGUAGGAAUACCCGCUGAACUUAAGCAUAUCAAUAAGCGGAGGA